CGGGAACAGCUCAAAUUUGAAAUCUGGCCCUUGGGUCCGAGUUGUAAUUUGCAGAGGAUGCUUUUGGUGCGGUGCCUUCCGAGUUCCCUGGAACGGGACGCCUUAGAGGGUGAGAGCCCCGUACGGUUGGCCACCAAGCCUGUGUAAAGCUCCUUCGACGAGUCGAGUAGUUUGGGAAUGCUGCUCAAAAUGGGAGGUAUAUUUCUUCUAAAGCUAAAUACUGGCCAGAGACCGAUAGCGCACAAGUAGAGUGAUCGAAAGAUGAAAAGCACUUUGAAAAGAGGGUUAAAUAGCACGUGAAAUUGUUGAAAGGGAAGGAUUUAUGACCAGACUUUUUCUGGGGGGAUCAUCCGGUGUUCUCACCGGUGCACUUCCCCCAGUUGAGGCCAGCAUCGGUUUCUGCCGGGGGAUAAAAGCUUUGGGAAUGUGGCUCCUUCGGGAGUGUUAUAGCCCGUUGCAUAAUACCCUGGCGGGGACCGAGGUUCGCGCAUUGCAAGGAUGCUGGCGUAAUGGUUAUUAAUCACCCGUCUUGAAACACGGACCAAGGAGUCGAACAUUUGUGCGAGUGUUUGGGUGUUAAACCCUCACGCGUAAUGAAAGUGAACGGAGGUGAGAGCCUUUAGGGGUGCAUCAUCGACCGAUCCUGAUGUCUUCGGAUGGAUUUGAGUAAGAGCAUAACUGUUCGGACCCGAAAGAUGGUGAACUAUGCGUGGAUAGGGUGAAGCCAGAGGAAACUCUGGUGGAGGCUCGCAGCGGUUCUGACGUGCAAAUCGAUCGUCAAAUCUGCGCAUGGGGGCG
rnacentral:rRNA from 1 species